rnacentral:rRNA from 1 species
UAGUCCACGCCGUAAACGAUGAUAACUAGCUGUCCGGUCUCAUAGAGAUUGGGUGGCGCAGCUAACGUAUUAAGUUAUCCGCCUGGGGAGUACGGUCGCAAGAUUAAAACUCAAAGGAAUUGACGGGGGCCUGCACAAGCGGUGGAGCAUGUGGUUUGAUUCGAUGAUACGCGAGGAACCUUACCUGGGCUAGAAUGCGAGUGACCUUUCGGGAAACCGAAAUUUUCUUCGGAACACGAAGCAAGGUGCUGCAUGGUUGUCGUCAGCUCGUGCCGUGAGGUGUUGGGUUAAGUCCCGCAACGAGCGCAACCCCUAUCUUUAGUUGCCAUCAGGUUAAGCUGGGGACUCUAAAGAGACUGCCUACGCAAGUAGAGAGGAAGGCGGGGACGAUGUCAAAUCAUCAUGGCCCUUAUGCCCAGGGCUACACACGUGCUACAAUGGCACCGACAAAGGGAAGCAACACGGCGACGUGGAGCCAAUCCCAAAAACGGUGUACUCAGUUCGGA